CCACCUGACCCCAUGCCGAACUCAGAAGUGAAACGCCGUAGCGCCGAUGGUAGUGUGGGGUCUCCCCAUGUGAGAGUAGGGAACUGCCAGGCAU
rnacentral:rRNA from 1 species